rnacentral:rRNA from 1 species
UACGGAGGGUGCAAACGUUGCUCGGAAUCAUUGGGCGUAAAGCGCACGUAGGCGGCCUGUUAAGUCGGGUGUGAAAGCCCUGGGCUCAACCCAGGAAGUGCACUCGAAACUGGCGGGCUUGAAUAUGGAAGAGGGUCGCGGAAUUCCCGGUGUAGAGGUGAAAUUCGUAGAUAUCGGGAGGAGCACCGAGUGGCGAAGGCGGCGACCUGGGCCAAUAUUGACGCUGAGGUGCGAAAGCGUGGGGAGCAAACAGG